GUUUUCUGUCUGUUCUGACUGUUUUCCUCACUAUAGUCGUCAUUGUUCUGGCUGUUAAAAUCAGGAGACUUCAGACAGUUGUGAAUGAAGAACUGCAGCCAGAAAGAAACAAGGAUCUGGGCUCAGAUGAACUGAACUACGCAGCUCUAAAUUUCCAGGCGAAACCCAAAAGAAGCCGCAGGCCUGCAUCAGAGAGAGAGCUGGAGCCACAUGUUGUGUAUGCUGCCACCAGGUAGACUCAGGAAACAUCUGGAACUGCAGCUCAGACUGGAACUGAUGCUUCAUUAUGUUAAUCUGCUGAUGUGUUUUUAUGUGUGGGAGGAGUCUACUGCCAAAAA